UACGGGGGGGGCAAGCGUUGUUCGGAAUUACUGGGCGUAAAGGGCUCGUAGGCGGCCAACUAAGUCAUACGUGAAAUCCCUCGGCUUAACCGGGGAACUGCGUCUGAUACUGGAUGGCUUGAGAUUGGGAGAGGGAUGCGGAAUUCCCGGUGUAGUGGUGAAAUGCGUAGAUAUCGGGAGGAACACCAGUGGCGAAAGCGGCUACCUGGCCCAUUCUUGACGCUGAGGCGCGAAAGCUAGGGGAGCAAACGGG
rnacentral:rRNA from 1 species